GCCGAUGUGGUGCAGUGGUAGUACGUCUGUCUGCCAAGCAGAAGGUUCCGGGUUCGACUCCCGGUGGGCA